CAGUUUCUGUGUUUAUAUAAAAUAAUUCGAUUAGACUUUCUUACCUAGGCCUUUCCUGUGUCUUCUAAGUGGCUGUAGCACACAGCAACUUUUACCAACUUUUUAUCCAAGGCUCUCUUCGGUAUUCUCUGUUUAAACUUUUUUUUAACCUUCUCUAUGAACACAAUGUGACUGUUUACAACUUAAAGAGAAAGGAGCAGCAUGAUGUAAUAGAAAGGUCAUGAACUGUGAAGCGAAUCAGCCCGAGUUUAAAUUCUGAUUUGAUGUCUGAAUGAUCAUGAUCACGUUAUUGAAACAUUCUGAGACUCUUCUUUUUUUAUUAUUCAAGUAUAGCUGAUUUACAAUGUUGUGCCAAUUUCUGCUUACAGCAAAGUGACCUGAUCAUACAUGUAGAUACAGUUAUUAUUUAUUAUUUAUGUAUUCAUUCAUUCAUUUAUAGGGCCGCAGGUGUUUCAUAUGGAUGUUCCCAGGCUAAGGGUCAAAAAUCAGAGCUACAGCUAGCAGCCUACACCACAACCACAGCAACGCCAGAUCGGAGCCGCAUCUUCGACCUGCUCUGCAGCUCACAGCUACACCAGAUCCUUAACCCACUGAGCUGGGCCAGAGACUGAACCUGCAUCCUCAUGGAUACUAGUCGGGUUCGUUUCCAUUGAACCACAACAGCAACUCCUGCAUCCUUUUUCUCAUAUUAUCUUCCAUCAUGGUCUAUCCCAAGACACUGGAUAUUAUAGUUCCCUGUGCGGUACAGCAGGACGUCAUUGCUCAUCCAUUCUAAUUGGAAUAGUUUGCAUCUACCAACCCCAAACGCCCCAUCCAUCCCACGCCCUCUCCCCUCCUCCUUGGCAACUACAAGUCUGUCCUCUGUGUCUGCAAGUCUCUUUCUGUUUGAAACAUUCUGAGAUCCUUAAUUUGCACAGUUGGAGUGAGACCUUGCUUGGUUGUGGGACAAUUAAAUGAAAUAAGUAUGUACAAUUCUGAGCACAUAGAGAGGCUGUGGCUUCAUUACUGCCGCUUCAACCAUUUCCACGAAUUUCACUCUUACAACUGCCCACUGUGUGACCAGGGGGAAUGCAGGUGACCCUCGGAACCUCAGUGUCCUCUUCAGCAAAGCAAGCAUAAUAAUGAAAUGCAAACAUCUGUAAGGUGCCGGGCACGUGGCAUGGAUGUUCAAUAAAUUUAGUUCACAAUCUUUCCCUCGCUUUCUCUCUUCUUAGCAAUAGCAAGGAACUCUUCAAGCCCUUGUGAUUCCCAGGCUAGUAGUUCACUCUGAUCCUGAGAUUAGAUUAGAGUCUGCCGAGUUGCCUUAAAUGCACUCUAAAUUGGACCCGAUGUCUGGAUGUGUGUCCAGAAAAGAUUCACACCCUCCCUCUCCCAGGCUUGCUUGGUCUAAAUCAAUCUUAAGGCCGUAGAGGAAGCAAGAAAUGUGUCCAGCACAUAAAUAUUCCUCUCCUUCCGCCUUUUCCUUCAGAGACCCUUCAUGUCCAGUGCCCAGCCUGGGAUGUACAGGCAGAAAAUACCUCUACGCUCUUCCUUCAGGCCUCUGCCUAAGCUUCUGCUCUGUUUGCUCAGUGGUCAGAGGGUCUGGCCUCCUACUGCUUGCUGUUUCCUGGCUCCUCCCACCAUCUCCUAUUGACAGAGACAGGGAAACGGACCACCUUUCCAUGCAUACAGGGACCCUGCAGUGUCCCCCAAAGGCAGCCUGGUGGAGGACAAGAGGCAGCCAAUCACAGCGAUUUGACAAUUGCUGUGUCCCUAGGCUGCUUGUGAAAAUAGCCGAUUAAGUGAGGACAUAGUCCCAGCAAACAGUUCAUUAUCCACCCACAACAUAGGCCAUUCAUUACCCCUCCUCGCCUGUCCUUGCGAUCUGGGCACCUUCCUUCUGAGGACGCAGAAGACUCCCAAGUCCAUGUCCGUGUGGCUUCCUAGGAUGGGGGGGUGGGGGGAGUUAGUAUUUUCUAUCACUUACGGUGUCCACUUAAGGUCCGGUGUGUUCACCUCACCUUCUCUGGGUCAUUCAGGAAAGACUGAGGAAUGUCUUGUUUUAUGUCGUCAGAGAGGCCCCAACCCAUACAGCAGGGCAUUUUUCCAUUUUUAUUUUUUGGUUGCAUCUGUCAAAGCUCCCAGAAACUUUUUGGUAACCGACAUAGGCAGUAUUUACACUACAUUUCCAAAACUGCCUCACCUAACAUUGGAAGAGAAAGGCCAGAUGGAAUUCCGGGGUGAGUGUGCCACGCUCCCUGUCCGGUGAGACCUUUGAUGAUUGAUCCGACAUGGAUCUUUUACGCCGCCAUGGAAUUUUAUUUGGUCAAGAUGUGCUUUUCUAUCUACGACGGUCCAAAAGCUAAAAUCACAAUGAACACAAUAACCACUUCUAAUUCAGAAAUCGCACCAUCUGUUGUUUCAACCCGUGCCACUUAGCUCUGCAGAGCCAGGAAAUAACAGCAGUAAAUGUGCUACUUUGGAGCCUGAUGGUGAGGGUCAAGGUGACAUCUGAGGAGCGAAGGCUUCCAGGUGACCUUGAGUCCAGGAGUCAGGCUGUACGUGGCGCUCUCUCGUUCUCUGGUUGUAACACUAGAGAUGUGACUCCACCUGCUUUUAUAUUGAAAAAAAAAAAAAAAAAUGGCAGACUUUCCGAGUCCUCACCUCUGUGCCUGGCCUCAGAAUGAGAAGUUAAUACAAAUUCUUGUCCAAAAACUCAAGUGAAGACUAAAUGUGACUUGAUUUAUAUUUCCUUUAAAGCAAAAUUUGAGCUCCUGGAUGCAUCGUUUUUGUCACCGUUGGGCUCUCCUGUCCUUCCCAGGAUUGCCGUAGGUUCAGGAAGGAAUUCAUGGUGCCCAGAAAGGUGAGAGCCCAGGCUGUGGGGUCUCUCAUGGUCUUGCUGACACCCCAGCACCCAGUCCCCAGGGCCACUGGCCAACCAGCAUCCUCUGCUGCCCCCAUGCCCUCCCAAGGCAUGCGGAUGGUUGUGGACGCUGACAGCCCCAUUCCUACAGUUCCCUCUGUAGAUACACUACGACUCUUGCUCCCUGGGGCAUUCUGCUUCCCCAGGACGAGCCAGGGAGCCUCCCUUCCCUGGGACCCUGGAACCUGUCUCUACCCCAAGACCUGUUUCUUAAAGACAUUCUGUUCCUUUCUCCAAAUUCACUCUUCCCUUGGGGAGCCAGACUCUUAGAAAAUAAAAGCCCGGA
rnacentral:lncRNA from 1 species